AGAGUUUGAUCAUGGCUCAGAUUGAACGCUGGCGGCAUGCCUAACACAUGCAAGUCGAACGGCAGCACAGCAGAGCUUGCCCUGUGGGUGGCGAGUGGCGGACGGGUGAGUAAUGCAUCGGGACCUACCUGAACGUGGGGGAUAACGUAGGGAAACUUACGCUAAUACCGCAUACGUCCUACGGGAGAAAGCGGGGGACCUUCGGGCCUCGCGCGGUCAGACGGACCGAUGUUCGAUUAGCUAGUUGGUAAGGUAAUGGCUUACCAAGGCGACGAUCGAUAGCUGGUCUGAGAGGAUGAUCAGCCACACUGGAACUGAGACACGGUCCAGACUCCUACGGGGCGCAGCAG
rnacentral:rRNA from 1 species